AAACUGACACAGAGCAGGAAGACAUCUGACAUCUGACAACAAGAAAUGGCUCAAGCAACCGUGACUCUAAACAGAGGGCUGAACCUUCAAGCAGAAGAGUCUGGGAGCCAACACAGACACCACCAGCUCCACCCACCACAGUCAGCAGGUCACAAUCACCUGAAUACUGAUUACACACACCUGCCACCAAUCAAGCCACUGCACUAUAAAGCAACACUUCCCCGGUUCACUCAUUGUCUGGUCUCAACUCUACCAUGAGGUACUACCCGACUCACUUCUCUACUGAAGACCUCUGCGUAUUCUGGCUUCCCCUCAACCUGUGUGUGUCCUCAUCUCCUGGCUCUCCUGCUCCCCGUCACUAUGAGUGAAUGGCACGACAUCUACGACAGAUAAGACUCUCAUAGACAAUUCUAGUCUUGGCAUAUUUGGUUACUGCUUUGCUCCUCCUGUGUAACCUACUACUGUGGCAAUAAA